CGGCUUACGACGGGACCACCUUAUGUUGUUUCAUCAUGGUCUAAACUGAUAGCUGAACUAACUGAAUGCGCGAAAUACACAUGAAUC
rnacentral:antisense_RNA from 1 species